UGGGGAAUUUUGGACAAUGGACGCAAGUCUGAUCCAGCCAUUCCGCGUGCAGGAUGAAGGCCCUCGGGUUGUAAACUGCUUUUGUACGGAACGAAAAGGUUUCUCUUAAUACGAGGAGCUCAUGACGGUACCGUAAGAAUAAGCACCGGCUAACUACGUGCCAGCAGCCGCGGUAAUACGUAGGGUGCAAGCGUUAAUCGGAAUUACUGGGCGUAAAGCGUGCGCAGGCGGUUAUGUAAGACAGAGGUGAAAUCCCCGGGCUCAACCUGGGAACUGCCUUUGUGACUGCAUAGCUAGAGUACGGUAGAGGGGGAUGGAAUUCCGCGUGUAGCAGUGAAAUGCGUAGAUAUGCGGAGGAACACCGAUGGCGAAGGCAAUCCCCUGGACCUGUACUGACGCUCAUGCACGAAAGCGUGGGGAGCAAACAGG
rnacentral:rRNA from 1 species